rnacentral:rRNA from 1 species
UACGUAGGGUGCGAGCGUUGUCCGGAAUUAUUGGGCGUAAAGGGCUCGCAGGCGGUUUGUCGCGUCGGGAGUGAAAACCCAGGGCUUAACUCUGGGCUUGCUUUCGAUACGGGCAGACUAGAGGUAUGCAGGGGAGAACGGAAUUCCUGGUGUAGCGGUGAAAUGCGCAGAUAUCAGGAGGAACACCGGUGGCGAAGGCGGUUCUCUGGGCAUUACCUGACGCUGAGGAGCGAAAGUGUGGGGAGCGAACAGG